rnacentral:rRNA from 1 species
AGUGAACGCUGGCGGUAGGCCUAACACAUGCAAGUCGAACGGCAGCACAGUAAGAGCUUGCUCUUACGGGUGGCGAGUGGCGGACUGGUGAGGAAUACAUCGGAAUCUACUUUUUCGUGGGGGAUAACGUAGGGAAACUUACGCUAAUACCGCAUACGACCUACGGGUGAAAGCAGGGGAUCUUCGGACCUUGCGCGAUUGAAUGAGCCGAUGUCGGAUUAGCUAGUUGGCGGGGUAAAGGCCCACCAAGGCGACGAUCCGUAGCUGGUCUGAGAGGAUGAUCAGCCACAAUGGAACUGAGAAACGGUCCAGACUCCUACGGGAGGCAGCAGUGGGGAAUAUUGGACAAUGGGCGCAAGCCUGAUCCAGCCAUACCGCGUGGGUGAAGAAGGCCUUCGGGUUGGAAAGCCCUUUUGUUGGGAAAGAAAAGCAGCAGGUUAAUACCCCGCUGUUCUGACGGUACCCAAAGAAUAAGCACCGGCUAACUUCGUG